GUGUUGUAUGAGCCGAGAGAAGGUUAGCAUCUCCCUCGAUAAGGACGAGAACGGUCUUUGACCGUCAACCUACACACAUAUGGUUAAGGCAUUGCCACUUCGGUGGCAUCUAACCAGUUUUUUUC